UGCCGCCUGAGACCAGUAAUAUGGCGGGGAGGAGGAGGAGAAGGCGGCGGCGGCCCGAGCUGCUCUCUGUUGGUACCAAUUGAGCCAAUUGCUUCCUGACAAGGCCUGGGGCUUGGGGAAAAAAAGCCGACUGGGCCGUGGGAGAUCAGUACUUGGAUCAGGUGCCUCCUGUGUUCUGACGUAGUGGUGUGUAAUGAGGAUUCAGUGGUGAGAAGACUAAGAAGGUGCCAGUGCUGAUGGAGCUUCCCCUUGGUGGAAGAAGACAGACAAAAGCCAAGGAAAUAAACAAGAUAAUUUCAGAUAGUGUCUGAUUGUGGAAAGAUGGAGGAAUAUGAAAAGUUCUGUGAGCAGAGUCUUGCCAGAAUUCAAGAAGCAUCAUUAUCCACAGAGAACUUUCUACCAGUUCAUUCUGAAGGCAUCUCACUUAUUCGCUUCCAUGGCAUGGCUGUGCUUUCUCCACU